GCUUACGGCCAUACCACCCUGAACACGCCCGAUCUCGUCUGAUCUCGGAAGCUAAGCAGGGUCGGGCCUGGUCAGUACUUGGAUGGGAGACCGCCUGGGAAUACCAGGUGCUGUAAGAUUUU
rnacentral:rRNA from 1 species